rnacentral:tRNA from 1 species
AUUAAGGUAGCAGAGUAGGUAAUUGCAUAAAACUUAAGCCUUUAUUAUCAGAGGUUCAAACCCUUUCCUUAAUA